rnacentral:rRNA from 1 species
UACGGGGGGGGCAAGCGUUGUUCGGAAUUACUGGGCGUAAAGCGCUCGCAGGUGGUUCGUCGCGUCGUGCGUGAAAGACCCCGGCUCAACUGGGGGAGGUCGUGCGAUACGGGCGGACUGGAGGCCAGUAGGGGGAUGCGGAAUUCCGGGUGUAGUGGUGGAAUGCGUAGAGAUCCGGAGGAACACCAGCGGCGAAGGCGGGUCUCUGGGCCGUAACUGACGCUGAGGAGCGAAAGCAUGGGGAGCGAACAGG